rnacentral:rRNA from 1 species
UACGAAGGGGGCUAGCGUUGCUCGGAAUCACUGGGCGUAAAGGGUGCGUAGGCGGGUCUUUAAGUCAGGGGUGAAAUCCUGGAGCUCAACUCCAGAACUGCCUUUGAUACUGAAGAUCUUGAGUUCGGGGAGAGGUGAGUGGAAACUGCGAGUGUAGAGGUGAAAUUCGUAGAUAUUCGCAAGAACACCAGUGGCGAAGGCGGCUCACUGGCCCGAUACUGACGCUGAGGCACGAAAGCGUGGGGAGCAACAGGG